CUCCAACUUGACUCGAGAAAACCCCAACCGGUUAUAUGCCAAGCCGGGCCGUCCUCCCCCAUCCCAAACCCAAACCAGGAGUACUUUGGUCGAACACCUUCGCUUCAACGCAAGAUGCUGCGCGAGUCCACGGGCAAGUCUCUCCUCCUUCUCCCUCGUCUUCUUCCGCUCCUCACUCGAAGAAACCGAAGGAACCAUCAUGAAAUCCUAAACUUCAUGGCUCUUUCUCUCUCAAAUCACGUUGGUCGCAAGAAGAAGAAGAAGGGUUCUAGGCCACCUGAUCGUGGGUUUAUUUCCUAUCACCUAUCAGCUCAGCUAUAGAGGGUUAUCUUUUACCAGUGUGAAGUCACCACUCUAAUAUGACUGCAGUCACCACUGAUACUAACUGCAUCUGUGGGAGAGUGAGCCUUAACAAGAUGGUGAAGUUGCUCUUUUGCAGCAUAGGUGAUUGAGUUCGAACCCCAGAAACAACCUUUAGAUUUACGGAGGGAAGACUAAGCUCCUCAAACUCCACCUUGGCGGCAGCCUCAUGCACUGAGUUGUCCUACAUUUAUAUUUUCCUGAGUGUCAAAGAAUAUUCCACUAAUCUGAUGAUAUUUUGACUGAGGAGAUUGCUCUCACUAUGGGGAUCAGCCAAUGAUUUGUUUGCGAACAUUAGCUGCCGGGAUUUGGGUUAACAAAAUGCUGUUUCUCUUUCUCCAGAGAUGCUGAGACACAGCAGGCUUUACUUGGUAUUUGCAUACAAGUACCUCACAUGGAUAUUCAAGAUUCUCGAUGAUGUUUAUUAUUGGGCCAACAAACCCAGCUCGACAAACAAAAUUUAAGAUCGUCUGGUAAGUAAUUGGACGCAGUCCAAUUUUCAGUUCUUGGUUUCAUUUAACUUUAUGCCUUUCAUAGAAUUGGUGUUUCAGAUUUGGCUGUACAUAGUGUUGUGUUGUUAAGAGUCGAAGACCAUGAUCAAUUGAACCCAUACCACAAGGAGCAAGCACUUGAAGGAUAGAAAAUCCGUAACCUUUUCCAUUUGAGUGGAAGCUCCAAAUUCCAUUUCCUAAAUUCUCAGUGUUCCAACUUGUUCCUCGUAUUCCAUUUAAAUGGAGCAUUUUCUAUGUUGUUCUCAAGAAAAUAUUGUUGUUGUGCAGAUCCCAGAAAUAUCUAGAAGAAGACACUGAAGACAGCUACCCUAGACUGCUUUUAAGAUGAGGCCAUGGUGUAGCUGUUGCUAGAAUUAUCGGCAUGGUCCUAAGAAUUUGUUGUGCCAUGAAGAAAACAGAGCAGUGAUACGGGUCCCCAGGGCCAUACCAGUGGUGUAAAGUUCAUCGUCUCGUGCCCCAUCUCACAUGUUGAUUCAUUUGCUGCAGCAUUGGAGUUGUUGGGGUGUUCUUGAGGACCCAAAACAUGACAGAGCCAUUUAGUCUUGUCAUAUCUAUUACAUUUCUGAUGGGGCAUACAAAAACUUGGACAUAGCUCAACCACAGAUGCCAGUGUCUCCCAUCUCCUCAACAUCUCACGGAAGAGCUUCUGACCUAAUUUGUCGGCACAACGAAAGCAGAGCGGGAAGUAAUUGCUUUCAACUUAAAGAGAAAAGUUCUCUGUUAACUCUCCCGAAUUCAUGAACAUGAUUGUAAAGUUGCUUCUUUGCAGUCUGAUGACCGACGAAUACCAAACCUCGUAUAUUAACCUUCCUUGUAUCAUUAUUCAUGUAUUGAUCACUAAAAAUAUAU